ACGGAAGGCAGCAGUGGGGAAUAUUGGGCAAUGGGCGCAAGCCUGACCCAGCAACGCCGCGUGAAGGAAGAAGGUUUUCGGAUUGUAAACUUCUGUCCUUGGUGACGAAGGAAGUGACGGUAGCCAAGGAGGAAGCCCCGGCUAACUACGUGCCAGCAGCCGCGGUAAUACGUAGGGGGCAAGCGUUGUCCGGAAUGACUGGGCGUAAAGGGCGUGUAGGCGGCUUUUUAAGUCUGAAGUGAAAGUCCUGCUUUCAAGGUGGGAAUUGCUUUGGAGACUGGAAGGCUUGAGUGCGGAAGAGGUAAGUGGAAUUCCCAGUGUAGCGGUGAAAUGCGUAGAGAUUGGGAGGAACACCAGUGGCGAAGGCGACUUACUGGGCCGUAACUGACGCUGAGGCGCGAAAGCGUGGUAGCAAACAGGAUUAGAUACCCUGGUA
rnacentral:rRNA from 1 species